GAUGAACGCUGGCGGCGUGCCUAAUACAUGCAAGUCGAGCGAACGGACGAGAAGCUUGCUUCUCUGAUGUUAGCGGCGGACGGGUGAGUAACACGUGGAUAACCUACCUAUAAGACUGGGAUAACUUCGGGAAACCGGAGCUAAUACCGGAUAAUAUUUUGAACCGCAUGGUUCAAAAGUGAAAGACGGUCUUGCUGUCACUUAUAGAUGGAUCCGCGCUGCAUUAGCUAGUUGGUAAGGUAACGGCUUACCAAGGCAACGAUGCAUAGCCGACCUGAGAGGGUGAUCGGCCACACUGGAGCUUGGACACGGUCCAGACUCCUGCGGGAGGCAGCAGUAGGGAAUCUUCCGCAGUGGGCGAAAGCCUGACGGAGCAACGCCGCGUGAGUGAUGAAGGUCUUCGGAUCGUAAAACUCUGUUAUUAGGGAAGAACAUAUGUGUAAGUAACUGUGCACAUCUUGACGGUACCUAAUCAGAAAGCCACGGCUAACUACGUG
rnacentral:rRNA from 1 species